UAUAUACCUUCACGCUAAUCAAAACGAGAUCCGGCCUGAUGUGUCCUUCCGCUCUUCGUCACCCGCCUCUCGUCAGCACCCUUCAGCCUGUAGACCUUCAACUUUCUGGGCCGCUCUCGUUCCAUCCUGCUAAAGAUUAACCAAAAAAGCUGUCAGCAAUAACUUUUCCCUCCAUCGUGGGCUCCUAGACAGAGGGACUAUAUGGUGUUCCUCCGCGCAAACACCGCCCAGCCGAGAUGGGAGGCCACGUGAUACAGCAGCUGAGGACACUCCUCCCGCCCGCCGCGGAGCGCAGGGGGAUGUGGGGGGGCUGCUGCUCCUGCCCGCCAACACAGCCAGUGAGCUCUGCGCGCCGAUUGGCUGGUGGCGUGGUAACCGUGUGAGCGCUGAGCCGCCAUUGGCUGACGCCCGAAAAGGGAGAGAUGGUGAGAGGCACGGAGAACGAGGAGCCGUAAAAUGGCGGUGGCGCUGGUUCUAUUCUCUGCUUCACAUUUCCGUGGCGUGUUCUCUUUGAAGCACCACGCCUCCUUUGUUACUGACAGCUCUUUAUGCCCUCCACACGAAGUCCUGUCCGCUCUCCCUGUGCGUUCUUAACAGCCCCUCCAGACGACGUCCAGCAGAGUUGAGGGCAGAACUUUGCUGAGGAGAGUCACUGCUCCCUCAGAUAAGUGGAAAACUCCCUGCCUGCUACUUGCCCCACAGAGAUAGGGCUGUGUGUUUGUGUCCCUGACACCCUGCUAGCUUUGUAGCUGAGCUGUAACAUUGGCCUGGGGUGGUUUGUGAGGAGAUGCAAGAGCAGCCAUUACUCAAUGGAGGAGAGCAUUAGUGGGUCAUCUACACAGCCUCACGGCCCUAGUAAACAGCCUCACCUUGGGAAGGUUUUCAAGCAGGUUUGCAUUAUGUUUUAUCUGAACUAAAUCAGCCAAAUGAGAAGGCAGCCCUGCUCCAUCACGUCUGGCCCUGUAUGUUUAUAGCAGCUCCUCUGGUCCUCACCUAGCCCUGUAUGAAACCCAUGGGGAACAGAUGUUUUCAGUCCCCUCGUGAUUCUCUGAGGACACUAAAGCACCAUAUGCAGCUCUGAGUGAGGAAGGUGAGCUGGGAAGGUUGCUACCCAUGUUUUCUUUCACUACCUGGCCUUUGGUUGCUUUCCCACAUUACCAGCCCUACAACACACCAUCAGCUCUGAAGAUUAAUUAUAGAAUGACUUAGGUUGGAAGGAUCAUCAAGCUCCAACCCCCCUCCAUGGAUCCUUGCUUGCUCAAAACAUUAUCACCCUGUCAAUAAACUCCUCUUGGCUCCACUGCAAAAGGCUCCCUUGUUUUCCAUUUAGGGCUUGUUAGUAUUUGUGUACAGCCAUGGCCUUGGCUCAGUUUGCACAAGUAUACCUGCCUGGAACUCAUUAAACAGCUCCACUGAUAAUCCCAGAGGAUGGGCAUGGCCAGGGAGGACAGUCAUGGCCAGGUUUCUACUUUUAGCAGCAGGAUGUCACCAUCACUGCAACAAAUUGGGAAUCAAGCAUCGAUUUUUAAUGGCUCACUAAGAUGGAAGAGGCAGCAGAGAAAAAUGCCCUCCAAUAUCAGAAAACACGAUAGCAACUGAGUGAUCUCAGAUGACUCCUCUGAUACGUGCACCAAUGAGCAGGCAGAUCUUGCUUCAAAGCAAAAUUCAGAGGAUGGAUGCAGCAGCUACUGAAGAAGCCUGGCUCCUGUGAUAAGUUGGAUCCAUCCCUAUGCAGAAGUGAGGGACCAGCUGCAGGCAAGAGGAAAUGCUCAUGCAGAGCUCACAGCAUGAUAGAGGCCAAAAUGACCUUGUUGGGGAGUGACAAAAUGCUCAGUUAUAUGCAGCACUGCAGAAAGCACCAGGAGGUAAACUGAUUCUCCUCCAUUCACCCUUCUUCUUCAUUAAAAUGGAAGAAGUGGUGAGGAACCUGCCUACAGCACAUUGUGAGUUUAGACAAAAUACCUGCCAUGGGACCAGAUCAAGAGCCAAUGCACUCCAUCAUUUGCCAUCUAUGCCCUGUGUCUGUUGCCUACUACGUUCAUGUCCUUUGCAGUGCUGAACAGAAUGAGACAAGAAAGCCUUACAGGACUGGGAUCACUGCAGUGGGAUGUCUAACAGAGCACUAUGGCGCUGCUGCCUUUGCUUCUGCGGAACAGCAAUGAUUCUACCACGAGAGGCAGGGGUAAGGGUGGGCUUAAAACACUUAAACACAAACCCAGAAGACUCAUGGAAGCAACUUUUGCUCAUUAUUUAUAUGGAGAAGGCUUUUCAUGAGGAAUGUGGAUAGGAUUUAUAUACGUACUAUAUAUAUAUAUAUAUAUAUCCACAUGCAUACAUAUUUCCUCUGAGAAGUUUAGCUCUGAGUUUGAAAAGAUGGAUCAAAUUGCUGCUUAGCUACUGGAGCCAGGGAAACUGAACCAGCAAAAUAAAAACCUGUCUGAC